rnacentral:lncRNA from 1 species
GGGCUAAUACUUACAUUACUCUGCUACCCAAAAAAUUGAAUGUCAGAAUCCUUCAAAUUACCGUCCUGUUAGUCUUUGUAAUACUGUGUUUAAAAUUAUGGCAAAGAUACUUGUUAAUAGACUCAAGAUGAUCAUCCCAUCUUUAAUUUCUCAGAGCAAGGUACUUUUUUGUUGGGUCACCACAUCACUUCUUCUAUUUUAUUAGCCCAAGAACUCAUGCAUUCAAUGUUUCAAGCCCUUCGGUCUAGAUGCCUAU